ACACCCGUCUACCUUCGGUGGGGUGACUGCAGCUGCCCAGCCACUGGCUCUUACCAGUGUGGCCUUGGCAUUCACACUUUGGCCACCAUAAUUUUGUCUCUGCAGUGGGCCUUGCACAAGGCUGGGAGGAAACAGCCUCUGUAGAAAUCAAGGUUUCCUGCUCUGUGAGGGCUGAUGCGGUGCCAUGGAGAUACUUCCUGUGACUUUGCCAGGCAAACUGGAGGCCAGGGGAAAGAUCGGGAGUGUGAAGUCCUGACUUCUCAGCUACUCAGAAACCCCUCUAAGCCUCGAUGUUUUCAUCUGAAAAAUGACAGUGGCAAACUGCUUAUAGAGGGACUGUCAGGAUCAAACGAGAUAUGGUUAUGAAGGCGCAUUGAAAACGGUGCCACCAUGGACACACGAGUUGCUAUUUCUGCCUGCCACCUCCACAGACCCCAGUUCACCACCAGCUGCAAUCUCUACAAGUGGCCCUGCCUUCCUGAAAACCCCAAACCAAGACUUGCCUCCCUGGGCAUCUGAGUCCACCCCAUCCUCUCUCCUCGGGCUUACUUACUCAACCUACACCACAGGGAAAUGCACCAGUUGCUUAAGAGGUGUGGAAAGUUUCCUCCAGUUUUUUCCAUGGUUUGUGUGCUUGUCUUACCUGUCCCGCCUCCUUCCUAGCACCGUGGGAGUAUAAGCUGGCUCCUCUGCAAUGGAUCCGUGGCCAGUACCUCUGUUCCCUCACAGCACAGGAUAACAAUAAGUGUGCCAAAUGGAAGUGUGCGUGUGGGAGAGGGCACACAGCCAGAUGGCUCCUUGGGGCAAAGCCUUAUUUCUACCACAUAGGACUUUGUAGACAAUCACUCUCUGGCUAUAGAGGGGUUUUGUGCUCAUUUUCUGUUGUGAAUCAAGCUAAUUUUGGAUUCACUGGGAUACAAUAGUGAACUGAAAGGCAGCUGCCUGCAGGAGGAGCUCAGAGAACCAAGCAGAGCCAAGCCCUGGGAAGCCUUUUAGAGGAAGAUUUGCAGAGAAGGAGUGUGACAGUCAUAAGUGUCCCACGCUCUCAGUCCUCAGCAGGCUGUCCCUCCCAGUCCCAGGUUCACCUUGCAGAGGUGUGGUGGAGAACAAGCGUGCCCAGCAGCUUCCCGUCUGAAAGCCAACUGGCACAGCCCACCUCCAGUGGGCCACCCAUGUUUCUGGGGCCAAUGAGCCUCUGAGCUGGGAGGUCCUGGCCAAAGAAAUGCCCUCCUGCCUCAGAGAACAGAAAGUUCCAGAAGAUCCAGGGUAGCUUUAUUCCUGACUUAGCAAGCAGACCUAGAAGUGGGAUGGAGAAGGGCUUUUGAAUCUCCCUCCAAAGGUCCAGAGAAAUCUCCUUGGAAAUUUGAUUGAUUAUU
rnacentral:lncRNA from 1 species